rnacentral:rRNA from 1 species
AGGCGUUGAAAAUUUUCUUGCGGGAAUUUUGGAGCCAUUGGUGAGAUACCACUCUAACAAUGCUAGGAUUCUAACCCUAUACCGUUAUCCGGUUAGGGGACAGUUUCAGGUGGUCGGUUUGACUGGGGCGGUCGCCUCCUAAAAGGUAACGGAGGCGUGCAAAGGUUUCCUCAGACUGGUUGGAAGUCAGUCGAAGAGUGUAAAGGCAUAAGGAAGCUUGAUUGCGAGACUUACAAGUCGAACAAAGACGAAAGUCGGCCUUAGUGAUCCGACGGUUCCGAGUGGAAGGGCCGUCGCUCAACGGAUAAAAGUUACUCUAGGGAUAACA